UUGUUGUCGUUGGACCAAGGAGAAAGAGGAGCAGCGAUGGGGGUUCCGAUGUGCCAUCGCCGCUACGCCCAUUGCCAGCGCCUAGCAAGAUUUUGGCGUUUGGCAUACGGAGCACGAUCUGCCGCAUUUCCAUGGCAUUGAGACGAGGUGUGUGAGAAUAAUCCAAAGAGGCUGCACUACAUAAUUAAUCUAUGUGAUACUUUAAUCUGCAAGCUCUAGGGGAGGCUACAG